rnacentral:lncRNA from 1 species
CCCAAACUCCACUUUGUCCUAGUCCUACUAACACUCAUUAAAAACCAGCACUAUGUAUGAGUGCUGUGCCACUGCUGUCUCUGUAACUGGCAGCACUUGCUUAGGGCUCCUAAGAUUGGCUCCUUAUGGGGUUGGCUUUUUCAUGAACUUCGGUGUGAGAAACAGAGAUACGCAAUAUACUGACUUCCUUUUGCAAGACAUCUGUGAAGGUCAAGACACUCUCCAAGCACUCCUUUCCGGCCUGCUGUCCCCAGCCUAACACUGCUCAUGAGGAAGUAACCAGCAGCCAUCAAAGAUUGGCCUCGGCGCAUCCUCCUACACCACCAGGACUGCUGGGAGGUGGUGAACUGCAUUUUCUUCUUUUUCUGUGGCUUCUGAGUGCAGAUCCCCAUUUGUGUAGAGCCAAUGAAUGAACAUGUCAUGGUGACUCCUUUAGUGAAAGAACACAUUCUUUCCUGCUGAUUCCCCACAUACUCCCUCUCCAUUCCUGCCACUCAGUCACCUGCUCCCAGUACCAACCCUCCCACAAGUCCGCUCAGGUUCUGUGUUCACCGAGUACUCAGGCAAAAUGAACCCUUAAGGGCUCUUAGCUUUACCCCACUCUGUUCCCCUCCAAGUCCCUUCCGCCUCAUCCCUUGGUGUUCUUCCCACGGUAUCCCAGGCUCCUCCCCACAGUCACAUCUGUCAUCAACUUUGGUCCCACAAUUGUUCUGCCCUUUCUCAGCAAACUUGUGGCUCAUUAUAAAAUGAACAUCCCCUAAACCCACAAGCAUGCAUGUCCAUGUGAACACCCACGUAUCCAUAUAUACGCAGAACUUUUCUUUACAUUGGAGACAGAACAACUGGGCGCAGCAUACAUACAACUGAGGGAAAGAAUCAGGAAGUACAAAUAUUUUUGUUUUCAUUCCAUGCUGUGAGGUCAACACAUAGGUGAAGCCAAAUCGGAAAGUAGUGGCUUUUAACCUUUCUUUUGAUCAUGGACCCUUGUAGAAUAUUACAAAAUUAUGAACACUCAUCUUCAAGAAAAUGUCCCUAUGCCCAGGCCUUUGCACACAAUUUCAGUAGAGGGGUUUGGAUUUAGAUCCCAUAUAUCUUUAGGCCCCCAGGUUAGGACUUUUAAGUAUAGAGAGGUGCAUUGAAUGCUAUAAUAAAUAAAUAAGUUGAGUAAGUAAAUAAAAUAAUACUAGUUAUUGAGUGUCUACAAUGUGCCCAGAACUUCACUUGCAGUUUCUCUGAAGUUCUCAAUACCCUUGCAAGUUAGAUAUUACUGUUUCCAUUUUGCAAAUGAAGAAACUGGGGCUUAAAAAAAUUAGACUAUUUAUCUCAAAGCCGUUCAGCUGGUAAAGAAAAGAACUGGGAUUUGGUCUAAAUGAUUGAUCUUUUCCCAUUUUACUCUGCCCUCUGGUCUUUGGACUCUAAACGGGCUCCAGUUCAGUACUAUCAACUAUUCCAGUUCAUUUUAUAUUUAGUGGCUUUACAGUGAGGUCUCUGAACAUUUAGAGAGUUAAUUCAAACUAAAAGCCUUGAUUUGAUGCCAGGACAGUGACUAGAAUUAACUGCAGAUGAUUCCAUACUAGCCGUAGUCAUCAUCUCUGACAAUACCACUCAGACGCAGAAUUGUAUGUGGUCUCUGGAGCAUUCUAGACCAUGAUUCCCAUACACUGAACCCUCCACGUAAUUUACACAGAAAUAUCCCUGCAUCCCUUAGUUUUUUAUAGACUCGUCUCAAUAGAAUUGGAAGGCUUUGAUGCAGUGCUUAAUUUUCAAUGCCUAUUGUCUUUUUUAAAAAGAGCACGCACAAGUGUAGCCCGACACACCUUUGAAGCUGUCAUCAUGUCCGCAUUCUGAAAUGUAAUGACCAUAGGAUUUGCCUUCCAAUUCUAACUAUUUCUACUUAAGGAAGGAAAUUUACACAGUGGGAAAAUAUGUUGCCCUUUGCUUUGUUUCCUUUCCUUCUGGGGGAGAGUUAUUCAUGUGUGUCUUGAAUACAAUAAGAAAUAGCACAUGCUACUAUCAGGAUGUUUUCAGAAACAUUAUUUUGAGCUUUUAUUCUCAUAGCUAAACUCCACUGUAAUUCUCACGUGACAAGAGUAAACUAUUAAUAGGAUUCCAACUUUUUUUUUCUAGUAGACCCUGGAGAAGUCUCCUUUGCCAUGUGAGUGGAGGGCAGAUCAGAUCUUGACAUGACACAUCGAUUUAGUUUCCAAAACAGUAACUUUACUAAGUAAAUCAUUUCAGCGCUUGAUUGUUAUUUAUACAUGCAAAUCUGGUUUUCAUUUGUUAGACUCGGACAAGGGGAAAGCUAAUAAUCUCAUCAAAAGCUGAAUAUGUUCCAUCUUGGAAAUGUCACAAGGUUCACAAUCACAUAACCUGCACUCUGCCGUGGGUGGAUAAACGAACACCUCCCUAAUCCAUCCUACAGACAAACAGCACUGAGAUAGGAGAACUCUGGGGUGUUUGCAAGGAUGAGUCUCAACUCAGGCCAAUGACUCCUUGGCCUUUUUCCUAGCAUUAUGUAAUUCGUUUCCAGUGGUUGUAUACUGAGAGGAGGAAAGUGGAGAAAGAUGAGAAAAAAAAUGGAUAGUUAAAAAUUCUGGGCAAGUAAAUAUUAAUAGCUUCAACAUAAAUUACAGGAACUGGAUUUGUAAAUUGGGUUACUCUCAUAGUAAGGAAUCUGAUUAUAUCUGAAGAGGUUCCAAUUUUAUAAGCAGGAUGUAUGGGUUCUGGGAAGAUACAUUUAUCUCCAAUAUUUCCCACACUGACAUGAAAGUCCACCAGUAAUUCCUUGUUUUAAGCAUGGUCCUAUCUUUUAUAAUUCUCUUUUAGUGUGCAAAUAACAUAGCAAGUUCCAUGUUCCUUUGGUGGCAAGAUGGGCUCUGUGUUCUCUUAAUUUCCUCUGACCCUCCCUCUCUCACUUCUGGUGGGAAGGAGGUCUUCUCACAUAACAGUGCAUCAGUUAGGCUAUGUGAGAACAAGAGAGAAGUUCAUGAGUUUGUUGGUGCCCCAUUGUUACUCUGACACCCUGAAGAUUCAGAGAAAAAGAGCCUGGUUAUUUCCACGAAGAAAGGUGUAUACUUGAAAUGAGACUGUUUCUAGAACAAGGAAAACUAUAGUAUAUAGCUGGGAACCUGGGAAAAUGUGAAAAGGAAGGAGGGAAAGAAAUCAAGAGAACAUCCAGAGUCUCUUGAAAGACACCCCAAGACAAAGUGAGAAGGAUACCUUUGUCCUUCCUGGAUUUCAAACAUUCAUCAUUGGCCUCAAGAUAAUAUUGUAUCUUUCUUAUUGAUGGGCCCAUCCCACAUGCCUGGCAGUUGUUACAGAGGGUGUUGGCAGCACUACUUAUUUCAUUACGUGGCUUUUCUUCCCAGCCUCACAGACUGAAGCUCAGAAAAACACUAACAAAAGGAGGCAGGGGUCAUCAGGUGGGGUACGAAGGGAGCACCCAUUCCUUGUCAAAAUCAAACGUAGUCCAGGCCUCAUUUAGAAGUUUAAGCAGAUUCUCCUUUGCAGAAAAAGAAGGUUUUUUGUUUUUUUUUUUCUCCUCCCAUACAAGUCCUUGGUGGGUUUAUUCCAGGUUCUGUGAGCAACUGUCCACUUUUAGAAAAUCAAUCAGAUCCCAUCCUGUGGAAUUCCAACUCGUAGGUGUUCACAGAACUUCACGAUUUCUGAGGAGGUGGUUACAUGGCCCCAGCACAAAGAGCUUUUGAGUUUUACAGGCAGCUGAAGAAGGCAGUGUAGUUUUUGUGAAAAGACCAAAGAUGAGGGAUGCUUGGGCACCCUCUUAGGCAAUGGGAAUUGGAGCAUCAGAGCAGGGUCCUCUCAGCUUCCUUCACUUGGUGGUUUUUUCUGCUUGAUUUUAUGUUGCUACUUUGGAUUUAAUUUGUUCCAGUUCUAAGAGGAUUAUGCUUUUAGUACCAUCCUUGUGAUGAUUAAUGUGUACUAAUUGUUUUACCUUUGAAUCGAGACUCUUUGGAGCUGUCUAGGCAAAAAUCUCCCUUUUGUAGGAGGCAGGGCUGAUGAGCAAGAAUCCCAGGGGUACCUCCGCUCUGCUUCAGGUUGAUGUGAGGAGAGAGAUUAAAGAAAGUAUGGAAAGUAGCUUUCUUUUUGAUUGCGCCCCAAUGGAAAUCGUGUUGUCCCACACGUUGUAUUAACUAUUCUGGUGACUUAAAAAAUAGAAUCAGUCUGAGCAUUUAAAGGGGCCCUAAUGAGAACCUUUACUGCUAUGGGGCUUGCUUUUGUCACAUUAUAGGAAGCAGGGCUGUGAUUUGUCACUAAUUUUCAUCUCGGUCGCCUGGCUCAGCCAAGAGGCUCUGGUAGCCUAAUGAGCAGUGUAAAUCAAAUCUCUUUCUGUCCACUGAUUCUCACGUGGGUGUAGACCAUGGAGACGGGGUAGACUGGAGGACAGUAACAGAUAACAGCAGGUAAAUAACACAGCCAGAGAUGUCCCCUUGCUGGGGAUGAACCCAGAGAUCUCUUUAUUCUGAGAUUUUGUUCAAGCCUUAUGUCUCUACAGACAUUAAGUAGCAAGUAGCUUUCUGAGUUUUUAGAAGGCAUGUUUAAAUUCACUUUAAAUAUCUAUAAGUUUCCUUUCAUGAACAUGUCCCAAAAUUGCCCCCAAUGUUCUUAUGAAUGAUCCCACUAAAGAAAAGGAAAAGAAAGGGAGAAAAAGGGAGAGAAGGGAAGAAAGACAAAGACAAGCGAUUGUGCAAUUUUAUACGGUUCUCUUUUAACAGCAUAAUUACAAUUUCAGUUGUCACUCAAAAAGGUUGAAUGACAGAUUCUAGCCAGUUGCUUGUGAAGCUGGCAGCAUGUCAGGAAUUACAUGGGGAACUUUGUGAAAAGCGCAAGUCCCUGGGCCCCAAACCCAUUCCAUAUUCCCUUACCUACCCACCUCCUGCCCAAUAUAGGCCCAGGGGAGAGCCCAGGCAGUUUUUAUUUUUAAAGAGUCCUAGAUGAUUUCUAACAGACUGUCCAAGACCAGCUAUAGAGAACCAGUGGAGGGGAUGGAACAUCUUUAAAUAUAUUCAACUCAACUGGUUAACUGCUGACAUUGGCUGCCAAGUGCCUGCAUUGGGCUUGGUAGCAGAAAAAGAAAAGAAAUAAAAUUUACAAGGUCUUCCUGCAUGCAUUUCCUCACAACCAAGGAAAACUAUUUCUACUAAUUUCCCAUGGAAAUUCUCAACUGUGGAAGAAGCAAAGAAUAUCUAACAUAUACCUGUGGCUCUCUUAAUUUAGAUAUUUUAAAUGUGAAAAAGUCAUUUACAAAACAAAAGUAGACACAUUGUUGGUUUGCUAAGAAAACUGGGAGCUUGUGAACUUCGUAGGGCAAAGAAUGCAGGAAAGCACAGUUUGGUAGCAGAUAGAGGCUGAGACUAAGGGGACCAACUUGCCCUGGUUUUCUUGGGACUUCUCCUGUUCUAAAAUUGAAAACUGGGACCGUUCUGGUUUGAAACCUGGAAGUCCCACAUUCUGGGAAGCCCCUCAGUCCCAAGUACACCAGGACACUUGGCUACCUACAUGAGAAUGUCCAUAUCCAUACAAUCAAGAGGGUCAAUUCUAUUGGCACGAUCAGUCAGUUCACACCAAUGAUUGUCUGUACAAUGAUUUUGCCUAGAUUGGCUGGCUGUUGUUUUGAUCCUGCUGAUUUUGAUGCUCUGAUCAGUACAGAGCAAAUGGCGCCAAAUACCUCAAGAAGAACUCACUGAAAAGUGUCAGAAGCCCUGAGCCAGGGUUCUGAUGUUACCACAUCUUGUGGCAUGAUUUUAGACAUCAUCCCUAGGCCUAAAUUCUGUCCUCUGCGAUAAAAUUGGUACAAACACGUUGUAAAAUUAACAUUCAAAUUUUAUAAUACACAUGGAAGCACACUAUAAAUUUUAAAGCUCUGCACGAAUGAUUAAAUGUACACAGAUCACAAAGCCAGAACCAUAGUAGAAGAAAAAUUUUUUCCUGGGAGAGAAUACUGGAAUGGAAGGAGCACAGUUGGUGAGUUGGCUGGAUCAGGACGGCAAGCUCAAUCCUUAAGCAAAUAGAUAGGUUUCCUUAAGCCCAUUCCUGGAGCUGGCAUCCUUCUUAGUUUGUUAAAUCCUGAGUUUUAUCAGGUGGUUCUGGGUCCAGCCUGAGGGAACAAAUCCAGCCAGGCUAAGGCAACUGUGGCAUCUCUACUGCUCUUUCCUAGUGACUUGUGUAGGUAUGAAUCAUGUGACUCACAGUCAGUGAAACAUAGGAGCAGUCUGCUGAGGCAGGUUUAUCCUGCUCAAUAAAAGAGAUAGUAGCCAAAGAAGAAAUCCCUUUUUGCUUCUCUUCCUGUCUUCCUGCUUUGGACAUCAUGUGUGAAGAUGCAAUAACAGGGGCCCCCCAUCUUGAACCUGGAAGAGAGACGAAUGUGGAGCAUCACAAAAUGGAGAGAUGAAAGAAGACUGGGUCCUUGAGAACAUGGCUAAACAUUCAGAACUGCCCACCUCGAGGGUUUAUUGUUCAGUGAGAAAUAUUCUGAUCCUUAAAGCAUAGCUACUCAGAGUAUCAAUCAUAGCAUGGUGUGAUUCCAUGAAGCAUUUGUUACUGGUCCACAUUGAGUGAAGCACAGAAAUCAUAAUUGUUUAUGAACUUUUCUAGCAAUAUGAUGGGUAAUAUUAUGGCUAUUGAUUCUAAAAAUUUUUUUAAAAUGAAUGUAAAUAUUUUCUUUGUUUCAUUUUCUAUGAAUUCAUUUUAUUAUAGUUUAUGAAAGUAUCAAUCUAUGAUAUAUUGGAAAUUAGAGGAAAAAUUAACUGGUAUUUGUUGCAGAUAGUUUAAGAAGCAUUGCUUAAAGCCAAUGUUUGGCAAACUGCAACCGAAGGGCCAAACCCAGCACAAUGUCUGCUCUUAUAAAUAAAGUUUUAUUAGAACAUGGCCACAUCUUUUGUUUACAUAUUAUCUAUGGAUAUGUUUAUGCUACAAUGCCAGAGUUAGGUUAGCUUUACAGAGACCUUACACCCACAGCCCCCAGUCCCGAGUCUAAAAUGUGUACUAUCUGGCCCUUUCCAAAAAAAAUUUACAGAGUCUUGCUUUAACAAAAAGUCAGGAAAAAACAGAUGCUGGAGAGGAUGUGAAGAAAUAGGAAUGCUUUUACACUGUUGGUGAGAGUGUAAAUUAGUUCAACCGUUGUGGAAGACAGUGUGGUGAUUCCUCAAGGAUCUAGAACUAGAAAUACCAUUUGAGCCAGCAAUCUCAUUACUGGGUGUAUACCCCAAGGAUUAUAAAUCAUUCUACUAUAAAGACACAUGCACACGUAUGUUUAGUGUGGCACUAUUCACAAUAGCAAAGACUUGGAAGCAACCCAAAUGUCCAUCAGCAAUAGACUGGGUAAAGAAAAUGUGGCACAUAUACACCAUGGAAUACUAUGCAGCCAUGAAAAAGGGAUGAGUUCAUGUCAUUUGCAGGGACAUGGAUGAAGCUGGAAACCAUCAUUCUCAGCAAACUAACACAGGUACAGAAAACCAAACACCACAUGUUCUCACUCAUAAGUGGGAGUUGAAUAAUGAGAACACAUGGACACAGGGAGGGG